rnacentral:rRNA from 1 species
GAUGAACGCUGGCGGCGUGCUUAACACAUGCAAGUCGAACGGUGAAGCAGAGCUUGCUCUGUGGAUCAGUGGCGAACGGGUGAGUAACACGUGAGUAACCUGCCCCUCACUCUGGGAUAAGCCCGGUAAACGGCGUCUAAUACUGGACAUGAGCUCCUACCGCAUGGUGGGUAGUUGGAAAGAUUUUUCGUUUUGGGUUGGGCUCACGGCCUAUCGGCUUGUUGGUGAGGUAAUGGCUCACCAAGGCGUCGACGGGUAGCCGGCCUGAGAGGGUGACCGGCCACACUGGGCCUGAGACACGGCCCAGACUCCUACGGGAGGCAGCAGUGGGGAAUAUUGCACAAUGGGCGAAAGCCUGAUGCAGAGACGCCGCGUGAGGGAUGACGGCCUUCGGGUUGUAAACCUCUUUUAGCAGUGAAGAAGCGAAAGUGACGGUACCUGCAGAAAAAGCGCCGGCUAACUACGUG